AUUGAUUCAGAACCAACAGGCCUUUUUCACAGCAGCCAUCCUGACAUGAAACAGUAGGGUAAACAUAGGUGUUAUCAAAGACACUCAUUAAGGCUCCGUUCCAUUCAGCUCAAACAGAGUCAGGGUGCAGCUGUUGAGCAUGUUGGCUCACUGGAAAAGGCUCUGCUACACUAAAUGGAACAUUAAUUAGUAAAAACAAUGGCUGGAAAAAGGUCUGUGGGCUUCCUAUCCGUGUAAGAUCAGACGCUGGUGAUUAUUUGUGCUGAUGAAAGUAGAUCAAACAUAACAUCAUGAGAGAGUCGAGAGUUACUGAUACUCAAACUGAUGUAAUUAAUGAUGAAGUAAUGUCUCGUGUUAAUGUGAAGGCUCAUUAAACCCUCUGACGUCUUUCUGAUGUUGUUAUGUGGUGGUAUCCUGUUGCCUCAUCUGGCUGGUUUUCAGUGAGUAUAUUAAGACCUGUGUGUGUUUCAAACUCUUCACUUCUUCAGCCAUGGACAAAGGUGUGCUGCUGGUCCUGUUGUGUCUGCAGGCUUUCCUGCUCAUCACUGCCUUCACUUCUACUGAUGCAGCCGCUCUGCCUAGAGAAGAUCAACUGCCUCUUGGGGAGAGAAGACCACCACCAAAAGGGAAGCCAAGCUAUUGGCUCGGCUGUUGGGGAAGAAUAGAGGGAUGUAACUCUUUCAGAGUGCCCCCUACUAAUAAUCCUGAGUUGAAUUUACUUGUCAAGCAACUUAAGAAGACGUCAACAUGAUGCGACAACAACAGAAGUUUGAAACAAGCUUUUGCAGAACUGCCAUGCUACGUUUAGGAGUGGAAGAGAAUAUCUACUGUAUGCUGUACUGCUUAUGAAAUCUGCCAUAAUUGCAAAAUAAACAAAUUCAAAUCAGAUAUUGUGUGAUUGUCCAGUUGUUUUGUCAUUUUUUUCAGACCAGACAUUAACCAGCUUGUAGGAUUUAGAGGCUUUCUAGCUGUGAAGAAACUCUGGUGGCUGCCAAACCUAUGAAAAACACAAACAUUCCUAUGUAUAGUCAGUGUUUGGUUUGUCCUUUCAGGGCUACUGUAGAAACAGCUGUAGAUAAAAACGUCUCAUUCCAAGGUAAAACACAACAAUUCCUAUAUUCAGGUGAUUAUACACUAAUAAAAACAAACCAUUUAAUCUUAUAUUAAAUAUCUGGCAAUAGAUCCUCCUAAAUGUUACACACUGGACCUUUAAGUCCAAACUGGGCCAGCGUGGCUCCUUAUUCAUCCCGGUUCUCCUUCUGUCCUCCUGGGGCCACACAAUAAAGUCUCAUUCAGUGGUCUCCAUUAAUUCAUCUUUCACCAGACUUACAUUUCCUUAAUGGAUGCUAAAGUGGUGGAAUCCUUCAUCUGUGUAUUAGUUCAGUGGGGUGUUAACAUUAGCCAUGUUACUGUCCAAGUGUUUUUAAAUGGGGGCCUCUGGGCCAUAAACUGAUGCUAUUUGGGGGUCCUUGGAAUAGAAAACGCAACCUCUGUAUUAGGCUGUAGGCUUAGAGGUUAAAAUACAGUGAAUUUUAUGUGACUUCAUAUACUCACAGUCACUGAGAGGCUGUUAAAACACGCUCAGACUAUACGCAGCUUAUAAAAACCUCACUUUUAAACUACAUUCUGCAGCUGCAACAUCCUGCUCACUCAUCAUUAACAUAAACUUAAAUAUUAUAAGAAUAAUGUUCUGUCAGUGCAACAUGAUUCAAUUAUUCAUUGAUCCUAUGUAUAUGAGAUUAUACGAAUAAACGUUCUGGUGGAACUGCUCUAACACACUGAUAGCUGUCUUGUGAGUCACAGUUUUAAAUAAUAAAAAAG
rnacentral:lncRNA from 15 species